rnacentral:pre_miRNA from 1 species
AGUGGAGUAGCUGGGUCAAAUGGUGGUUCCAUUCUCAAUUUUCUGAAUCUCCAUACUGCUUUCCAAAGUGGUUGCACCAACUUGCAGUCCCACCAGCAAU